CAGCCGCCGCGGUAAUACAGAGGGUGCGAGCGUUAAUCGGAUUUACUGGGCGUAAAGCGUGCGUAGGCGGCUUUUUAAGUCGGAUGUGAAAUCCCUGAGCUUAACUUAGGAAUUGCAUUCGAUACUGGGAAGCUAGAGUAUGGGAGAGGAUGGUAGAAUUCCAGGUGUAGCGGUGAAAUGCGUAGAGAUCUGGAGGAAUACCGAUGGCGAAGGCAGCCAUCUGGCCUAAUACUGACGUUGAGGUACGAAAGCAUGGGGAGCAAACAGGAUUAGAUACCCCCGUAGUCCCUGUCUCUUAUAC
rnacentral:rRNA from 1 species